rnacentral:rRNA from 2 species
UGUUAUGCUGUUGGUUUAAGCCC